rnacentral:rRNA from 1 species
UACGGGGGGAGCAAGCGUUGUUCGGAUUUACUGGGCGUAAAGGGCGCGUAGGCGGCCACUGCAAGUCGGUUGUGAAAUCUCCGGGCUUAACCCGGAAAGGUCAAUCGAUACUGCAGGGCUAGAGUGCAGAAGGGGCAACUGGAAUUCCCGGUGUAGUGGUGGAAUGCGUAGAUAUCGGGAGGAACACCAGUGGCGAAGGCGGUUACCUGGAGCUUUGCUGACGCUGAUGCGCGAAAGCGUGGGGAGCGAUCCGG